rnacentral:rRNA from 1 species
UACAGAGGUCCCAAGCGUUGUUCGGAUUCAUUGGGCGUAAAGGGUGCGUAGGUGGCGCUGUAAGUCGGGUGUGAAAUUUCGGAGCUUAACUCCGAAACUGCAUUCGAUACUGCGGUGCUCGAGGACUGGAGAGGAGACUGGAAUUCAUGGUGUAGCAGUGAAAUGCGUAGAGAUCAUGAGGAAGACCAGUGGCGAAGGCGGGUCUCUGGACAGUUCCUGACACUGAGGCACGAAGGCCAGGGGAGCAAACAGG